rnacentral:lncRNA from 1 species
CAACAUAGAGCUCUCAGAAGAGUGUGAGGGAAUCCAUGCUAUGAGGACACUGCCAUCCAGACAAGUGUGAGGCCAGCCUGGGGUACAUGAGACUGUCUUUAAAAGGCUCAAGUUAAGGGCCUUAGAAAACUAGUUGAUCGAGAAGAAAUGUUUGCAGAAAAUAGGCAGAGGGAAAUACAGGAAAACAAGGAAGAAGCAUAAACCAUCGCGAGGGCGUCAGACGCAGAAGAAACUAGACGGACGUCUUAUUUAAAAGGGGCCUCAAGACACUAGAAGAUUCUGCGUCUCUAUCGGGACCUGGCCAGAACGCCACAGGGAGAUGGAGCAAUGGCGGAGAUGCCUGGGCCCUGGAUGAACUCAAGUACUAGCGCCAAACCACCAGGCUGGGAGACUUCCGAAGAGGGAAGUGCAGUCAACGCACGCCAGCAGGUG